AUGGAAACUCAAUCAGGAAAUGGAGAGGAGGUGGCGAGCGCAGCGUCGGCGACCUCGGGCUCCGUUUCCCGUCGUCCCUCUGGGCCGCAGGUCGACGAGCCGGCGCUCCGAGAGGACCUGCAGGCGGCCAAGAGGAUCGAGAGGUUCCACAUCCCGCUUGACAGUCUGAAGAGGAUGUUUGAGAAGCCGGCUGCGGCGAGCGCGGAAGUGACAGUGAUCAACACCUCCCCGUCCAAAAGACUGACGUCCAGUGGCGUCCCGCCGGCCGACCGGUCCACAGAUCAGACCAUGGCCUCGCCUCAGGACUCCGCUCUCGGCAGCGCAGCUAGAUCCAGACCGGGACGUCCCGAGGAGAGGCCCCUGAGCGCCGAGGACCCGGAGGCCGAGCCGGUGUCGGUGAAGGAGCGGCUGGCGAUGUAUCAGGCGGCCGUGUCCAAGAAGGAAACCAGCAGCUGCAGCUCUGCCGCGAGAAGUGAUGGGGACCAGGCAGAGAAAACAUUCCUUCUAUCCACCAAGUUCCUUGGAAAUCUGCUGACAAACAACCCAACCAACUUACCAACUCACCAACAAUCCGCCGGACGAGCGAACGAUGUCUGAUCCUCUUGAUGCCGCUUGGAGAGAUAUAUUUUGAUAUUUUGACAUUUACAAAAUUGUCAAAAUAGCAUUUGCCCUUAUUGCACUCUUCUAAACGAUUCUUGGCUUAGGUCUGUCUCUUAAGUUCCCAGAUUUAAGGUCAAGGUAAAAUAUAUUUUUUAAUUGAUCACAGUCGCUCAUGAGGCAGCACUGUGGCGUGUUUACUGCCACCUGCUGGCGACACAGCUCAGUUGCAUACUCGUUUAAAUAAGACACAAGUGGCUGUAGCAUCAUAUUAAUCAUCAAACAAAUAUGGGCGAUGAAUAGUAAAAACAUUAAAAAAAUAAUUGGAAGUAAAAACUGAAUCGAAAUCCACCGUAGGUGUGAACUCCGCCUCUCGCCCCCAAUGUCAGCUGGGAUUCUCUCCAGCCCCCCCGGGGAUUCCUUAAGUGAUAAGUGUUAUAGACAGUGGAUGGAUGGAUGUUUUCCUCAGCUAUGCGGCGCAAACUUAGCCGUCAGGUGCUCACAGGUCUGCAUAGCAACAACAACAGGCCUCUCGAGGCCGAGCUCCAAAGCCAUUUCAGAAAGGUGAGAGGCGUUGUUCACCAGAGCUGCUCUCACAUCCCGGUGGAGCUCGGCCUCGAGAGGCCUGUUGCCUUCCGCUAAUGGCUGUAACGCAUAAUUAUCCUUAAAAAGAACAAGCGCUGGACCAAUCCCAACAAAACCCUCCACGUCGCUUUAUUGAUGGUUUAAUAACUGCGAUGUAGAAAGAAGCGUCACUCCUCCCGAACAAGCAGCUUCACUCGAGGAUCCUCCAGUGGUCGUCAGCCGCCCCCAACAUCACUCCGUCGUCGGUGUCGAGCAUCAUGUGGAGGCUGCCGACAGCUCAGUGUGGGCGUGUGUGUGUGCGUGUGCGUGUGCGUGUGCGUGUGCGUGUGUGUGUGUGUGUGUGUGUGUGGGCGUGUGCGUGUGUGUGUGUGUGUGUGUGUGUGUGUGUGUGUGUGUGUGUGUGUGUGUGUGUGUGUGUGUGUGUGUGUGUGUGCGCGCGGCGGUGGUGGUGGGAGACAGAAUCAGCAUGGGAGUCUUGUUUUCCCUCCCUAACAUUCUGCAGCUGACGACAACACAGUAUGCUUAC
rnacentral:lncRNA from 1 species